UACGUAGGGGGCGAGCGUUGUCCGAAUUUACUGGGCGUAAAGCGCGUGUAGGCGGUUCCUUAAGUCAGGUGUGAAAUCCUGGGGCUCAACCCCAGAACUGCACCUGAAACUGAGGGGCUUGAGUUUGGGAGAGGAGAGUGGAAUUCCUGGUGUAGCGGUGAAAUGCGUAGAUAUCAGGAGGAACACCCGUGGCGAAGGCGGCUCUCUGGCCCAACACUGACGCUGAGACGCGAAAGCUAGGGGAGCGAAC
rnacentral:rRNA from 1 species